rnacentral:misc_RNA from 1 species
GAAAAAUAAAAUGUUAAUAUCAAGCAUGGAAAAUGUUCUGUGAAAUGAUACCUGAACGGCUGAACAGAAGUCAAAAGGGAAGGAAGAAGUACGCAAAAUUGCAAAAAAAUUAACACUUGUGCAACAAGAAAACUUUUCCUACCUACUGAACAAAUUAUAAAUAAAUGGCAUAUAUGAUAGCUGUAGUUGGCACAGCGGCUAGGGAGAGAUUUAGCUUCCAUUAAUUGAGAAGACAGAAGAAGUCCAAGAUGUAUGCUUUCCAACUUACUUCCUAACCUCCAUUACAUACUUUAAAAGACCCAUAUUGGCUUUAGCUUUACUCCUACUCAAACCAGCCAUAAAAAUAACCCCUUCAUCAUUCUGUUUGCUUGAUCUAGUGAUCAUAUGCUUUAAUUAUCCCACCGUUACGAUAAUUUCUUUCUUCGAGGCUCCAACAAUGAGCUUAGCUCCCUCUCCAUCUGCUACAAUGAAGCCUCCAAGAGGAAAGCUACCCGUUUCUAUCAUCACUAUCGUGAUUUGUGGUUUUGCUUUUCUUGCUCUCUUGUAUGCUGAGACUUCCAGGUCCUUUUUUAAGCUUAAAUCCUGUCCAAGGAGACAUGCUGCUAAAAAGUCAAAGGAUAGAACUGCAGGGGAUAAUCUUAAAAGCUUCGAAUUGGAUGAUAGAUUCGAGUUCGACCCUGAAGAGUGCACUGUUAAUACUGGAAAGUGGGUGUUUAACAAAUCUCUGGAGCCUUUUUACACAGACAGAAGCUGUCCCUAUUUAGAUAGGCAAGUUUCUUGUGUCAAGAACGGACGGCGAGAUUUCGAUUACCGGCGCUGGGAAUGGCAGCCUGACGACUGUACAUUGCCAAGAUUUAAUCCAGAACUUGCACUUAAGAAACUAAGGGGGAAGAGGCUGAUGUUCGUAGGGGAUUCACUACAAAGGGGUCAAUGGCAAUCAUUAGUUUGUCUGGUGGAAUGGCUUAUACCUGAAGACAAGAAGUCCUUGAAAAGGGGUCGCUUUCUUUCUGUCUUCAGAGCCAAGGAAUAUGAUGCUACCAUUGAAUUCUAUUGGGCUCCAUAUCUUAUUGAGUCCAAUACUGAUCAACCCAUCAUAGGAGAUCCAAAGAAAAGAAUAUUAAAAGUGGAUUCAAUUGAAAAGCACGCCAAAAACUGGAGAGGAGUUGAUAUUCUCGUGUUCAAUUCUUAUGUUUGGUGGAUGAGUGGUCUUAGACUCAAAACACUAUGGGGUUCAUUUGCAAAUGGGGAAGAAGGUUAUGAAGAAUUGGAUACACCAGUUGCUUACAAAAUAGGUUUCAAGACAUGGGCUAACUGGGUAGACUCAAAUAUUGAUCCCAACAAGACUCGUAUCUUCUUUACUACCAUGUCACCUACGCACACCAGAAGCGCUGACUGGAACAACACCAAGGGGAUAAAAUGCUUCAAUGAAACAAAGCCAGUAACGAAGAAGAGAUACUGGGGAAGUGGGUCUGAUAAGAGAAUGAUGAGUGUGGUGGCUAGUAUAAUAGGGAAGAUGAAAGUUCCAGUUACUGUCCUCAAUAUAACACAGUUAUCAGAAUACCGUAUCGAUGCUCAUACAUCAGUGUACACUGAGACAGGAGGGAAAAUGUUGACAGAUAAACAAAAGGCCGAUCCAUUGCACCAUGCAGAUUGCAUACAUUGGUGCUUGCCAGGAGUUCCUGAUACUUGGAAUCAAAUAUUUCUUGCUUAUUUGUAGCUGCAACUCAAAAGAAAAUGAAAGGAAUCCAUGUGUUCCUUUUGAUCAAGUGUAUACAUCAUACAGCUUGCCGUUUGAGCUUUCCCUUGUGUCAAAAAAAAAAUCUUUUGAUUGAGUGACAAAUCUGUUAAACUGAAUUAGAGCAAAACAAAUUCUUUUUAGUUAUUUUUUUCUAUAUUUCUUUGAGUAAUUUAGCUAACAUGCAAUAUAGAUUUAAAUAUAUUCUUACAUUUAU